rnacentral:rRNA from 1 species
UACGUAGGGUCCGAGCGUUGUCCGGAAUUACUGGGCGUAAAGAGCUCGUAGGUGGUUUGUCGCGUUGUUCGUGAAAACUCACAGCUCAACUGUGGGCGUGCGGGCGAUACGGGCAGACUGGAGUACUGCAGGGGAGACUGGAAUUCCUGGUGUAGCGGUGGAAUGCGCAGAUAUCAGGAGGAACACCGGCGGCGAAGGCGGGUCUCUGGGCAGUAACUGACGCUGAGGAGCGAAAGCGUGGGGAGCGAACAGG